rnacentral:rRNA from 1 species
GGGUCAGGAGGUUGGUCGUGCCACCGGUACGUACUGGUCUCACUGAUUCCUCCUUCCUGAAGAACCGUAAUGCCAUUAAUUUGGUGUUGCGGGGAAACAGGACUGUUACUUUGAAAAAAUUAGAGUGUUUAAAGCAAGCUAACGCUUGAAUUCAUUAGCAUGGAAUAAUGAAAUAGGACGAUCGAUCCUAUUUUGUUGGUUUCUAGGAUUGACGUA